UGGGGUUUUAGUUAUAAAACCCACGAUUCCCCCUCUCCAGCCGCCGCCGCUGCCUCUAGCUCCAUUGUCUUCUCUCUCAAUCAGGAAUCCUAGAUUACCAGAUCACCACAAUCCAGUACUCCGUUCGCUGCUUCGUUGCCGCCGCUGCCGCUGCCGAUAAAGUUCGAGGGCAGACUCCUGUCGUUGAAAUGGACGGUAAAUUAUUUUCCUCGUGAUUAUACUGUAGCGUUUUGGUGAAUGACCAGUUCACUUCACUAUAUUUUUGGUUGAUUCAGUGUUUUUUGUAGAUGAUUUGAUGAGAUGACGUGAUGAUAUGAACAAUGAUUAAAGACAAGGUCUGAGCAGUCAUAUUAUUUAGUGAUGUGUUGAAUUAUCUUUAUAGUGGUUCCUGCUGUGUUUCUGUUGUUGGUUGUAUGGUUUUGGGGUGAAUGCAGUUGAUAUUUCCGCACUUCGUUUGGGGAUAUUGAAUCGUGAUGCACUGUUACAGUUGAGAGUGCAAGAAGCUGCAUAUGAGUAACUUUGCUUACUAUUUGCUUGUUUUGGAAUAUCUUCCUACGAGAUUGAAUAUGCUAGAGGAUGUCUUGAGUUUGUGUAGGUAUGAAAUACCAUGAUAUUGUAAUUGUUCUCUAAUUUAUACCACUGUGGUUGUAGUUGCAAUAGUAGCAGUUGAAUUGACUGAGGUUAUUAGAUAUGGGCCAAAGAUUCAUAUGUAUUGAGAUUCUCUAUUCCUUUUUCAUUUAGUAGGUGAAACCAUCCUAGGCGUAAGACCACUCGUCCAGUAUUUCUGUCAAUCGGGAAUGUUUUAUGUCGUAGUGUUAACAAACGUAUGCACUCCACACUUUUCAAUCCCAACCCGUAUAUGUUCAGCAAGUACUCAUUUGCUUUUAGAGGCGGAAUGUCUCUUAUCCACUCCAUAUAUUUGCUCCCGAAGUUAUCAACUAACUCCGUAAGACAAUCCUUUAUCCUUUCAACCAAAUUGUUGUUCUGUCCUCUUAUCUGAAUGAUUUUAGAUAUCUCACCAACUUUGGCCCUUCUAACCGAAACCUAGUCAACAACGUCUGAUGCCUCAAACAUCUUUUUCUCAUUCGUAUAUUUGGAGUGGUAAUCUUUCAUAUCAUAUAUUUGGAGUGGUAAUCUUUCAUAUCAUUCAGAAGUGCAGGGUUGUGUUUUUUCUUGGUUCACAUCCUCAAAAGUUUUAUCUUCUUUAACCCGUUUAACUCGUUUCCCCUUAUGCACAACACUGCCUGAAUUUCUCGGAAAUAUAGCAGCUAGCAAUAUGAAGGCAGGACUUGAAAUCGCAUCAUUCAUGUUUUGUGCAAGAUAUGCUCCAACUAUAGAGUCCAUAACCGAACCUUUACACUCAGAAAAUUUUCUUUCACCUUGGAUAUGAUUCAUGCGUGACAUAAACAACUCAAUCUGACUGUCCAAUAAUAAUAGUACAUCUUUUUCAUCACGCUCUCCGCUGCAUUCGAAGUACUAUCAUUAUCGGUUAGUCAGAUUGAGUUGUUUAUGUCACGCAUGAAUCAUAUUCAAGGUGAAGGAAAAUUUUCUGAGUGGAAAGGUUCGGUCAUGGACUUUAUAGCUGGAGCAUAUCUUGCACAAAACGUGAAUGAUCGAUUUCAAGCGCGGCCUUCAUGUUGCUAGCUGCUAUAUUUCUGAGAAAUUCAGGCAGUGUUGCGCAUAAGGGGGAAACGUGUUAAAGAAGAUAAAAUUUUGAGGAUGUGAACCAAGAAAAAACACAACCCUGCACUUUUGAAUGAUAUGAAAGAUUGUCACUCCAAAUAUGAGAAGAUGUCUGAGGCAACAGACGCUGUUGACUGUGAUUCGGUUAAGAGGGUCGGAGUUGGUGAGAUAUCUAAGGCCAUUUAGAUAAGAGGACGAAGCAACAAUUUGGCUAAAAGGAUAAAUGAUUGCCUUACGGAGUUAUAGUUGAUAACAUUGGAUAUGGAGUGUAUAAGAGACGCUCCACCUAUAAAAGCAAAGGAGUACUUGCUGAACAUAUACGGGUUGACAGAAAUGCUGGACGAGUGGUCUUACGUCUAGGAUGGUUUCACCUACUGAAUGAAAAAGGAACAGGGAAUCUGGACUCGAUAUAGAUGCAUCUUUGGCCCAUUUCUAAUAUGGUAUCAGAGCGCGCUCAAGUCGAAGAUGGAUUUUAUCACGCCUAUUAGAAGUAGAAGGCACUCUGAUGGGAUCUUCACGGCCGGAAAAGAUUGCAGUCCGUUUGAUAAUUAUCGAGUUACAUUGCUUCUUCGGCCCGAAUCGAGGAAUCCCUUAGAUAUGAUGCAAAACGGAUCUUGUUCUAUCUUUGAUCAGAGAUUUCUCUAUGAAAAAUAUGAAUCGGAGUUUGAAGAAGGGGAGAGGCAAGGAGCCCUGGACCCACAAUAGAUAAAGGAGGAUUUAUUCAAUCACAUAGUUUGGGCUUUCUCUUGCCUACCCACGUGAUGGAAAUUCGAUGUGUCAUUCCGGCCCACAUGUGAGGGGUGUUAAAAACUAUAAAAUCUUGUCCCACAUCGACAUGGAGAUGUGUCAUUCCGGCCCACAGGUGAGGGGGUGUUAAAAACUAUAAAUCUUGUCCCACAUCAACAUGGAGAUGAUCCUAUCUCAUCUAUAUAAGAGUGGAUAACACUCCCUCCUUAUAAGGCAUUUUUAGGGGUGAGUGACGCAUUUCUAAUAGAGGAUUUGGUUCUCUUGCAUUCAUGACUUGCGUUUUGUUGUCUGGUGAUGGAAAAACAUUAGAAGCAGCGGCUGCUCACGGGACUGUAACCCAUCAUUUUCUACAGCAUCAGAAGGGGCACGAGACCAGCACCAACAGUAUUGCCUCUAUGUUUUUGCUAUACUCAAAUGGAUUCAUAGCUCGGUUUUUGUUACAAAACACUACCAUAAAAUUUCGAAGCACUUGAAGAACAUCUUUAUGCUCAACUGAAGCAGUUGUUUUGGUCAUGUUCUCAAAAACAUGAACGUUUGACAAUCAGACAAUUUGGUGACUGAUCUUCGUCAGUUUUAAUUACUCGUUCUGACUACACAAUAGGGUCUUCCUCCUUGAUUGUUCCUCAUUACUCUGAAUGGCAUUAUCUAAAUCAUUGUUUCAUAUGAAGGGUUUCGAGGGCGUUUUACUUGAGCACCGAAGAAUUUAUUGACGCUGUUGCACAAAAGCUUGAGUCAAAGCUUCGUCCCCUGGUAACUGUCCAGCAAUCUUGAGAUUUUGCCAAGGCACAACCGCACAACUCAUUUCUUAACUGAUUUCUAGGUGAAAAUUCAUAUGCUGCAGAUUUUGUAUAUGUUAUAUGUUAUGUGAAUGUGAUAUGCACCCUCUCAGUUUCAACUAAAAUAUCAAUGGAAUCAGUGUAAUUAGCUUACCGUGAAAAACAUGGGCCUUUAUAUAUCGAUUUAGAUAUUCCUUUUCUUU